rnacentral:misc_RNA from 1 species
AACAAGGCGUACCUGCGGACCUGCGGAAGGAUCAUUACCGAGUUUACAACUCCCAAACCCCUGUGAACAUACCUUUAUGUUGCCUCGGCGGAUCAGCCCGCGCCCCGUAAAACGGGACGGCCCGCCGCAGGACCACAAAACUCUGAUUUUAGUGUAACUUCUGAGUCUAAAAAACAAAUAAAUCAAAACUUUCAACAAUGGAUCU